rnacentral:misc_RNA from 1 species
GAUGAAGAACGUAGCGAAAUGGGAUACGUAAUGUGAAUUGCAGAAUUCAGUGAAUCAUCGAGUCUUUGAACGCACAUUGCGCCCCCUGGUAUUCCGGGGGGCAUGCCUGUCCGAGCGUCAUUGCUGCCCUCAAGCCCGGCUUGUGUGUUGGGUCUCGUCCCCCUUCCCGGGGGGACGGGCCCGAAAGGCAGCGGCGGCACCGCGUCCGGUCCUCGAGCGUAUGGGGCUUUGUCACCCGCUCUGUAGGCCCGGCCGGCGCUUGCCGAUCAACCAAAACUUUUUUCCAGGUUGACCUCGGAUCAGGCAGGGAUACCCGCUGAACUUAAGCAUAUCAAUAAGCGGAGGA